rnacentral:rRNA from 1 species
UUUAUGGAGAGUUUGAUCCUGGCUCAGGAUGAACGCUGGCGGCGUGCCUAAUACAUGCAAGUCGAGCGAACGGACGAGAAGCUUGCUUCUCUGAUGUUAGCGGCGGACGGGUGAGUAACACGUGGAUAACCUACCUAUAAGACUGGGAUAACUUCGGGAAACCGGAGCUAAUACCGGAUAAUAUUUUGAACCGCAUGGUUCAAAAGUGAAAGACGGUCUUGCUGUCACUUAUAGAUGGAUCCGCGCUGCAUUAGCUAGUUGGUAAGGUAACGGCUUACCAAGGCAACGAUGCAUAGCCGACCUGAGAGGGUGAUCGGCCACACUGGAACUGAGACACGGUCCAGACUCCUACGGGAGGCAGCAGUAGGGAAUCUUCCGCAAUGGGCGAAAGCCUGACGGAGCAACGCCGCGUGAGUGAUGAAGGUCUUCGGAUCGUAAAACUCUGUUAUUAGGGAAGAACAUAUGUGUAAGUAACUGUGCACAUCUUGACGGUACCUAAUCAGAAAGCCACGGCUAACUACGUGCCAGCAGCCGCGGUAAUACGUAGGUGGCAAGCGUUAUCCGGAAUUAUUGGGCGUAAAGCGCGCGUAGGCGGUUUUUUAAGUCUGAUGUGAAAGCCCACGGCUCAACCGUGGAGGGUCAUUGGAAACUGGAAAACUUGAGUGCAGAAGAGGAAAGUGGAAUUCCAUGUGUAGCGGUGAAAUGCGCAGAGAUAUGGAGGAACACCAGUGGCGAAGGCGACUUUCUGGUCUGUAACUGACGCUGAUGUGCGAAAGCGUGGGGAUCAAACAGGAUUAGAUACCCUGGUAGUCCACGCCGUAAACGAUGAGUGCUAAGUGUUAGGGGGUUUCCGCCCCUUAGUGCUGCAGCUAACGCAUUAAGCACUCCGCCUGGGGAGUACGACCGCAAGGUUGAAACUCAAAGGAAUUGACGGGGACCCGCACAAGCGGUGGAGCAUGUGGUUUAAUUCGAAGCAACGCGAAGAACCUUACCAAAUCUUGACAUCCUUUGACAACUCUAGAGAUAGAGCCUUCCCCUUCGGGGGACAAAGUGACAGGUGGUGCAUGGUUGUCGUCAGCUCGUGUCGUGAGAUGUUGGGUUAAGUCCCGCAACGAGCGCAACCCUUAAGCUUAGUUGCCAUCAUUAAGUUGGGCACUCUAAGUUGACUGCCGGUGACAAACCGGAGGAAGGUGGGGAUGACGUCAAAUCAUCAUGCCCCUUAUGAUUUGGGCUACACACGUGCUACAAUGGACAAUACAAAGGGCAGCGAAACCGCGAGGUCAAGCAAAUCCCAUAAAGUUGUUCUCAGUUCGGAUUGUAGUCUGCAACUCGACUACAUGAAGCUGGAAUCGCUAGUAAUCGUAGAUCAGCA